GCUCCAGUGGCCUAGUCAUUAGAGCGUCCGCUUCGUAUGCGGGAGGUCGAGGGUUCAAACCCAGAUCGAGCC